CCUACGGGAGGCAGCAGUGAGGAAUAUUGGUCAAUGGACGAGAGUCUGAACCAGCCAAGUAGCGUGAAGGAUGACUGCCCUAUGGGUUGUAAACUUCUUUUAUAAAGGAAUAAAACGAGGCACGUGUGCCUUUUUGCAUGUACUUUAUGAAUAAGGAUCGGCUAACUCCGUGCCAGCAGCCGCGGUAAUACGGAGGAUCCGAGCGUUAUCCGGAUUUAUUGGGUUUAAAGGGAGCGUAGAUGGGUUGUUAAGUCAGUUGUGAAAGUUUGCGGCUCAACCGUAAAAUUGCAAUUGAUACUGGCAGCCUUGAGUACAGUUGAGGUAGGCGGAAUUCGUGGUGUAGCGGGGAAAUGCUUAGAUAUCACGAAGAACUCCGAUUGCGAAGGCAGCUUACUAAACUGCCACUGACAUUGAUGCUCGAAAGUGUGGGUAUCAAACAGGAUUAGAUACCCCUGUAGUC
rnacentral:rRNA from 1 species